rnacentral:lncRNA from 1 species
UCUGCGCAGCGCUGCAUGAAGUCGAACGCACCUAAUGACAUGGAAGCUUAAACGUGCAUGACAGUUCAGAACCAAUGAGGUUCAUCCUUUGGUGUCACGCGGCACGUUUGAACCAAUGAGGUUUGUCCUCCUCACGCCAAGCAGGUAUGUUUGCUAAUGGGCUCUACUAGCGUGAUUUUUUUUCCCAAACCAGUUCAGCGCAAACCACGCCCCUACGCUAAAACCCCUCCCCGCAGCUGUGACACGCGCGAUUUCAUUGGGCAACGUUGUUACUUGUCGUCUGAGAAAGAAGUUCAGAGUGCACAUCAAUCAAGUUCGUCUCUAAUGGAUCUAUCGUUGACAAACGGAGAGUAAGUUACGAUUGUAGUCCCAAAGACCAAGCUGCGGAUCUAAAGGUGCCAGCACAAUGUUCAUGUUCGAUCAGGCAUGGCUUGUCAACAACGGCUGUCCAAAAAUAUGCUGUGGGGCAAAAAGGGUUUGCACUUUGGUAAAGACUGUAGACAAAAGGGGAGGAUCAAGUAGGAACAAUGAACCCCAUAUUCCCACUUAAUCAACCUCUGUGCGCUUGUACAAUGUGCAUUGAGGCACAAGGUUGUAGGGGUCACUGUAGUUGCCACCACUGCAAGAGUUAACGCUGUUGAGAUGCCACCAUGUCAGAGCCUGAGCUGCCAGUUGCCACCAGAGCUAUUGAUGCCAGAUUCACCAGAGUUACUGUCAACAGAACCGCUCACAAAGCCUCAACCACAUUCAGACCCAUUCCAGCAAAACUGCCAGAGCCCGUGGUGCUAGAGCUGGCAGAUCUGCUGCUGCCAUAGCCAACGCUUCCAGAGCCACUGAUGCCACCAACUAAGCUCCAGGAUUGGCCACCUCUGCAAAGCCAACUAGCCUAUCAGAGCCACUCUACCUAUUUCUAAAGUGAGGACAAUUUAUGCUUUAUAAAUGCCUAAUAAAUGACAAUUAAAG